rnacentral:lncRNA from 1 species
GGUAACAAUUAUACCCUAGUCACAAAAAUGUGCGGAUCCUGCCAGGAAAUCGGGUUGGGUUUUGGGUCAAAUGAAACAACACCGUUUCAGGUGCCCAUCCCUUAAAAUGGUCUAAAGACCAAAACGAAAUAAAAUGGCAAAAUAAAAAAUAAAAAAAGCAAGAUAUGACUAGAUUGAAACAAGCCAAAAAAGCGGAAGGACCAAAGGAGCAAAUAGACCACUUUACAAAAACAUGCGGAUCCCAGAGGAUUCGGGUCGGGUAAUCGAGUUGGGCCUGGAUGAAACGACACCAUUUCACCAAGCCUAUUUAAAUUAAAAAAAUUUCAAAAAAUUCAUUUCAGCCCCCUGUUUUAAAAAAACUGAAAACCCUUUUUUUUUGUUCUGAAAUCGCCCUAGGGCCAGCCUUCAAGUCUGGCAAACCCCACACAACGGUCACCCCCCUUUUUUAACCCCAAGA